AUUGAACGCUAGCGGGAUGCCUUACACAUGCAAGUCGAACGGAGUGGCGAACGGGUGAGUAAUGAAUCGGAACAUGCCCAGUAGCGAGGGAUAACUACACGAAAGCGUAACUAAUACCGCAUAGGAUUUGAGCGGCCGAUAACGGAUUUGCUCGUUGGGUGGGUAACGACUCACCAAGGCGACGAUCCGUAGCUGGUUUGAGAGGACGACCGGCCACACUGGGACUGAGACACGGUCCAGACUCCUACGGGAGGCAGCAGUGGGGAAUUUCGCACAAUGGGCGAAACCCUGAUCCAGCAAUCCCGCGUGAGCGAUGAAGGUCUUCGGGUCGUAAAGCCCUGUUGGUAGGGAAGCGGUACCUGCUGAGUAAGCAGCGGCUAAGUACGUGCCAGCAGCCGCGGUAAUAC
rnacentral:rRNA from 1 species